UGAGCUACUACAUCUGUCCAAAAGCUGC
rnacentral:piRNA from 1 species